GACGAACGCUGGCGGCGUGCUUAACACAUGCAAGUCGAACGGAAAGGCCCUGCUUGCAGGGUACUCGAGUGGCGAACGGGUGAGUAACACGUGGGUGAUCUGCCCUGCACUUCGGGAUAAGCCUGGGAAACUGGGUCUAAUACCGGAUAGGAGCCAUUUUUAGUGUGAUGGUUGGAAAGUUUUUUUCGGUGUAGGAUGAGCUCGCGGCCUAUCAGCUUGUUGGUGGGGUAAUGGCCUACCAAGGCGGGGACGGGUAGCCGGCCUGAGAGGGUGGACGGCCACAUUGGGACUGAGAUACGGCCCAGACUCCUACGGGAGGCAGCAGUGGGGAAUAUUGCACAAUGGGCGCAAGCCUGAUGCAGCGACGCCGCGUGGGGGAUGACGGCCUUCGGGUUGUAAACUCCUUUCGCUAGGGACGAAGCUUUUUGUGACGGUACCUAGAUAAGAAGCACCGGCUAACUACGUG
rnacentral:rRNA from 1 species